rnacentral:rRNA from 1 species
GGGGCCCGCGUUGUAAUUUGUAGAGGAUGCUUCGGGCGCGGCGCCGGUCUAAGUUCUCUGGAACGAGACGUCAUGGAGGGUGAGAAUCCCGUAUGCGACUGGUGGCCUGGGUUCAUGUGAAGCUCCUUCGACGAGUCGAGUUGUUUGGGAAUGCAGCUCUAAAUGGGUGGUACACUCCAUCUAAGGCUAAAUACUGGCCAGAGACCGAUAGCGCACAAGUAGAGUGAUCGAAAGAUGAAAAGCACUUUGGAAAGAGAGUUAAACAGUACGUGAAAUUGUUGAAAGGGAAGCGCUUGCAAUCAGACUUGCGCCGCGUUGAUCAGCCCGGGUUCUCCCGGGUGCACUCAGCGCGGCUCAGGCCAGCAUCAGUUCUGGCGGUGGGAUAAAGGCCCAGGGAAUGUAGGACGCCCCGGCAUCUGUUAUAGCCCUGGGUGCCAUGCCGCCUGCCGGGACUGAGGACCGCGCUCCGGCUAGGAUGCUGGCGUAAUGGUUGUAAGCGACCCGUCUUGAAACACGGACCAAGGAGUCUUACAGUGAUGCGAGUGUUUGGGUGUCAAACCCAUCCGCGCAAUGAAAGUGAACGGAGGUGGGAACC